GAUGAACGCUAGCUACAGGCUUAACACAUGCAAGUCGAGGGGAAACGACAUCGAAAGCUUGCUUUUGAUGGGCGUCGACCGGCGCACGGGUGAGUAACGCGUAUCCAACCUGCCCACCACUUGGGGAUAACCUUGCGAAAGUAAGACUAAUACCCAAUGAUAUCUCUAGAAGACAUCUGAAAGAGAUUAAAGAUUUAUCGGUGAUGGAUGGGGAUGCGUCUGAUUAGCUUGUUGGCGGGGUAACGGCCCACCAAGGCGACGAUCAGUAGGGGUUCUGAGGGGAAGGUACCCCACAUUGGAACUGAGACACGGUCCAAACUCCUACGGGAGGCAGCAGUGAGGAAUAUUGGUCAAUGGGCGAGAGCCUGAACCAGCCAAGUAGCGUGCAGGAAGGCGGCCCUAUGGGUUGUAAACUGCUUUUAUAAGGGAAUAAAGUGAGUCUCGUGAGACUUUUUGCAUGUACCUUAUGAAUAAGGACCGGCUAAUUCCGUGCCAGCAGCCGCCGUAACAC
rnacentral:rRNA from 1 species